AAAAAAAACAAACCCUGGUUUCCGUGUCCAACGUUUGACCGUCCGUCUUAUUUGAAAAAAUUAUGAAAAAAAUUAAAAAGACAAGUCACGCAUAAAAUAUUAAUCAUGUUUUAUCAUCUAACAACAAUGAAAAUACGAAUUAUAAAAAAAUUACAUAUAAGACGGACAGUCAAAAUUGAACACGGAAACCUAGGGUUUGCAUUUUUU
rfam:Oryza glaberrima chromosome 1 Oglab01_0300_6, whole genome shotgun sequence.